rnacentral:rRNA from 1 species
AUUGAACGCUGGCGGCAGGCCUAACACAUGCAAGUCGAGCGGAUGAGUGGAGCUUGCUCCAUGAUUCAGCGGCGGACGGGUGAGUAAUGCCUAGGAAUCUGCCUGGUAGUGGGGGACAACGUUUCGAAAGGAACGCUAAUACCGCAUACGUCCUACGGGAGAAAGUGGGGGAUCUUCGGACCUCACGCUAUCAGAUGAGCCUAGGUCGGAUUAGCUAGUUGGUGAGGUAAAGGCUCACCAAGGCGACGAUCCGUAACUGGUCUGAGAGGAUGAUCAGUCACACUGGAACGGAGACACGGUCCAGACUCCUACGGGAGGCAGCAGUGGGGAAUAUUGGACAAUGGGCGAAAGCCUGAUCCAGCCAUGCCGCGUGUGUGAAGAAGGUCUUCGGAUUGUAAAGCACUUUAAGUUGGGAGGAAGGGCAGUAAGUUAAUACCUUGCUGUUUUGACGUUACCAACAGAAUAAGCACCGGCUAACUCCGUGCCAGCCGCCGCGGUAACAC